CGGGGAAAUAGGAGGGCCAAGGGCAGCCUUCUGGCUAAUACUGACACUGAGGCUCGAAAGCGUGGGUAGCAAAUUGGAUUAGAUACCCUGGUAGUCCACGCCGUAAACGAUGUCUACUAGUCGUUGGGUCCCUUGAGGACUUAGUGACGCAGCUAACGCAAUAAGUAGACCGCCUGGGGAGUACGGCCGCAAGGUUAAAACUCAAAUGAAUUGACGGGGGCCCGCACAAGCGGUGGAGCAUGUGGUUUAAUUCGAUGCAACGCGAAGAACCUUACCUGGUCUUGACAUAUCUAGAAUCCUGCAGAGAUGCGGGAGUGCCUUCGGGAAUUAGAAUACAGGUGCUGCAUGGCUGUCGUCAGCUCGUGUCGUGAGAUGUUGGGUUAAGUCCCGCAACGAGCGCAACCCUUGUCCUUAGUUACCAGCGGGUUAAGCCGGGAACUCUAAGGAUACUGCCAGUGACAAACUGGAGGAAGGCGGGGACGACGUUCAAGUCAUCAUGGCCCUUACGACCAGGGCUACACACGUGCUACAAUGGUAGGUACAGAGGGCAGCUACACAGCGAUGUGAUGCGAAUCUCAAAAAAGCCUAUCGUAGUCCAGAUUGGAGUCUGCAACUCGACUCCCAUGAAGUAGGAAUCGCUAGUAAUCGCGGAUCAGAAUGCCGCGGUGAAUACGUUCCCGGGGCCUUGUACACACCGCCCCGUCACACCAUGGGGAGUUGAUUGCACCCAGAAGUGGAUAGCUUACCCUUCCGGGGAGCGGUCCACCACGGUGUGGUUGAUGACUGGGGUGAAGUCCUAACAGGGUAACAAUCACUAUUGGAUUUCGCGGCCCGCCCUGCAGGUCCAACCAUAUGGGGAAAG
rnacentral:rRNA from 1 species